UUUUGACCUUCAACCGUUCUUCAAAUUAUCAGGAAAAUUUUAUUUGAAAGUGGACUAAUCCUUUAAUGUUCACCAUUAGCAAGAAGUAUGUGAUUGUUUAAUAUGGAAGCUGUUCACCUGAAAUGAGGCCACACAGGUGUGAUAUGAAGUUCGCUCUGCCUGAGGCUGACUUUCUAUCUGUAGUUGAUACCUUGUCAUAUCAUUUGAACUGACAGCUGCAGGGUUUCGUUUUUGUUUUUUUGGCCUCCUUAACAUUAACCAGAACCUUCUGUGCCAUUUAAAUUAUCCACAACAGCCACUUUUGCAACAACCUUUACCAACAUUCAAGGAACAGGAUUUCCAGCUGUGAUUUAUACUAAUUGCUCUUGUGCUUUUCCUUUACAGAUGUGUUUGUGCAUUGGUUGACCCCGGAGACCUGACUGUGACUGUGAGACCACUUGACUGUGAACUUUGACGUGGUGGUCAUCUUCAUGGCCUUUUACUGAGCUGACACCUCCCCUGUCCAAUCCAUCUCUCUGUGCUGACGAACAAAGAGCGUGUUUUGGAUAGACAGUAUGGCGCCCAGUUGCUUCUGUGUACAUUACAGACGGACGUGAAGCUCUCAGCUGAGAGGGGAGACCUAUGCUGGAUCUGAAUUCUCAGAGCUGCUCUGCUGAAGAAUCCCAUUGUCUGGCUUCCCGUGAGUGGUGAGCGGUUCCCAGGACUUGCCUUGUCUAAAUAAGCCAUGACAGAGUGGACUCCCUCCUGCAAUAGCCUCUCUGACUCACUUAUCUCUGGCAGACGCACUCUCAACACAAACCAGUGCCGUCUUUCUGUCACACAGCCUAAUCUGUAAUGUCAUGGUUCACUGAAACACUCCCAGUCUCCCCGAAAACUUCCACUUACCUUUUUCAGCUCUCUGAUGAUCCAGUACAAUUUAUAAAAUACCAUUCAAGUGUUUUUUAAAUAAGUCUCUUAUGUUCACUAAGG